rnacentral:rRNA from 1 species
CCAGGAUGUUGGCUUAGAAGCAGCCAUACAUUGAAAGAGUGCGUAAUAGCUCACUGGUCAAGCGGAACCGCGCCGAAAAUGUCCGGGGCUGAAGCCAUGAACCGAAGUCGCGGAUUUGUUUAAUUACGAAUGGUAGGGGAGCGUUGCGUAUCCGGAGAAGCGGGACCGUAAGGACUCGUGGAGGGUACGGAAGAGAGAAUGCCGGUAUGAGUAGCGAAAAGACAGGUGAGAAUCCUGUCCGCCGUAAACCUAAGGUUUCCUGAGGAAGGUUCGUCCUCUCAGGGUGAGUCGGGACCUAAGGCGAGGCCGAAGGGCGUAGCCGAUGGACAAUCUGUUGAAAUUCAGAUACCGCCAGCAUCGCGUCUGAGCGAAGUGGGGGGGCGGAAGGGUAGACCAUCAGGCCGAUGGAAUGGCCUGUCCAAGCGAGCAGGGUGCAUCCCAGGCAAAUCCGGGGUGCGUGAGCCCGAGACGUGACGGGGAGCGAAAUUAGAGUAGCGGAACUGGUUGAUCCCAUGCCGACUAGAAAAGCCACGCAGCGAGCGAUAUUGGCGCCCGUACCGCAAACCGACACAGGUAGGUGGGGAGAGGAUCCCAAGGCGCGCGAGAGAAACCUCGUUAAGGAACUCGGCAAAAUGAUCCCGUAACCUAGGAAGAAGGGAUGCCCUUGGGGGUUAACAGCCUCCGGGGGUCGCAGAGAAACGGCCCAAGCGACUGUUUAACAAAAACACAGGUCUCUGCUAAGUCGCAAGACGAAGUAUAGGGGCUGACGCCUGCCCAGUGCCGGAAGGUUAAGGGGAGGGCUUAGCGGCAACGCGAAGGUCUGAACCGAAGCCCCGGUGAACGGCGGCCGUAACUAUAACGGUCCUAAGGUAGCGAAAUUCCUUGUCGGGUAAGUUCCGACCUGCACGAAUGGCGUAACGACUUGGGCGCUGUCUCAACGAGGUACUCGGCGAAACUGUAAAUACUUGUGAAGAUACAAGUUACCCGCGACUAGACGGAAAGACCCCAUGGAGCUUCACUGUAACCUGAGAUUGGAUCUUGGCAGGGCAUGUACAGGAUAGGUGGGACGCUGGGAUGCACGGGCGCAAGCCUGUGCGGAGCGGACGUUGGGAUACCACCCUUGUUUUGCCGGGGUUCUAACCGCAUCCCGUAAUCCGGGGGCGGGACAAUCUCAGGCGGGCAGUUUGACUGGGGCGGUCGCCUCCCAAAGAGUAACGGAGGCGCUCAAAGGUCCUCUCAGCGCGGUUAGAAAUCGCGCACGGAGUGUAAAGGCGUAAGAGGGCUUGACUGCGAGACUGACAAGUCGAGCAGGGACGAAAGUCGGACUUAGUGAUCAGGUGGUACCGAGUGGAAGGGCCAUCGCUUAACGGACAAAAGCUACCCUGGGGAUAACAGGCUUAUCUCCCCCAAGAGUCCAUAUCGACGGGGAGGUUUGGCACCUCGAUGUCGGCUCAUCGCAUCCUGGAGCUGAAG